rnacentral:rRNA from 1 species
AUUGAACGCUGGCGGCAUGCCUUACACAUGCAAGUCGAACGGUAACGGGCCUUCGGGUGCCGACGAGUGGCGAACGGGUGAGUAAUGUAACGGAACGUACCUUUCGGUGGGGGAUGACGUAGCGAAAGUUACGCUAAUACCGCAUAUUCUGUGAGCAGGAAAGCAGGGGAUCGCAAGACCUUGCGCUGAUGGAGCGGCCGAUAUCAGAUUAGCUAGUUGGUGAGGUAAAGGCUCACCAAGGCGACGAUCUGGAGCGGGUCUGAGAGGAUGAUCCGCCACACUGGAACUGAGACACGGUCCAGACUCCUACGGGAGGCAGCAGUGGGGAAUUUUGGACAAUGGGGGCAACCCUGAUCCAGCCAUGCCGCGUGAGUGAAGAAGGCCUUCGGGUUGUAAAGCUCUUUCGGCCGGGAAGAAAUCGCACGGGCUAAUACCCUGUGUGGACGACGGUACCGGCAUAAGAAGCACCGGCUAACUACGUGCCAGCCGCCGCAGUAAAAC